UGUCUGUUGGCACAUUUGGUAGUGACCCUACUUGCUAUGCUGGAUCGUGGGUUUGAUUCCCACACAUGAAG